GUGAAACCGCAAAAGGCUCAGUAUAACAGCUGUAAUUUCUUAGAUCAUAUUCCCAGUACUUGGAUAACUGUGGAAAAUCUAGAGCUAAUACAUGCAUAUAAUACGAGUACCCGUCAAAAGGUUCUCGUGCAGUUAUUAGACAAACCAAUCAACCACUUCGGUGGAUGUUUUAUAUGGUGGAACUCUAGAUAACUUUGCUGAUCGUAUGGCCUAGUGCCGACGACAGAUCUUUCAAAUGUCUGCCCUAUCAACUUUGAUGGUAGUAUAGAGGACUACCAUGGUUGCUACGGGUAACGGGGAAUCAGGGUUCGAUUCCGGAGAGGGAGCCUGAGAAAUGGCUACUACUUCUAAGGAUCGGCAGCAGGCGCGUAAAUUACCCACUCCCGGCACGGGGAGGUAGUGACGAAAAAUAACAAUAUAGAACUAAUUAUUUAGUUCUGUAAUUGGAAUGAAUCGAGUAU
rnacentral:rRNA from 1 species